rnacentral:rRNA from 1 species
GACGAACGCUGGCGGCGUGCUUAACACAUGCAAGUCGAACGGAAAGGCCCUGCUUUUGUGGGGUGCUCGAGUGGCGAACGGGUGAGUAACACGUGAGUAACCUGCCCUUGACUUUGGGAUAACUUCAGGAAACUGGGGCUAAUACCGGAUAGGAGCUCCUGCUGCAUGGUGGGGGUUGGAAAGUUUCGGCGGUUGGGGAUGGACUCGCGGCUUAUCAGCUUGUUGGUGGGGUAGUGGCUUACCAAGGCUUUGACGGGUAGCCGGCCUGAGAGGGUGACCGGCCACAUUGGGACUGAGGUACCGCCCAGAAUCCUUCGGGGGGCAGAAGUGGGGAAUAUUGCACAAUGGGCGGAAGGCUGAAGCAGCAACGGCGCGUGCGGGAUGACGGCCUUCGGGUUGGAAACCGCUUUCGCCUGUGACGAAGCGUGAGUGACGGUAAUGGGUAAAGGAGCACCGGCUAACUACGUG